rnacentral:rRNA from 1 species
UACGUAGGCGGUACCGUGUGUCGGAUGUGAAAGUCCAUGGCUCAACUGUGGAAAGCCAUCCGAAACUACGGAACUAGAGUGCAGGAGGGGAGAGUGGAAUUCUUGGUGUAGCGGUGAAAUGCGUUGAUAUCAAGAGGAACACCGGUGGCGAAGGCGACUCUCUGGAAUGUUACUGACGCUGAGGUACGAAAGCGUGGGGAGCAAACA